CGACACCGCAGAUGUGAGCGCGCAUCUACUGUCUGCUUCUCUCCAUCAGUUUUCCCGCUCACUGAAUAAUGGUCCUUGUGUGACCUCUUCAUCAAUACCAAUACACAAACAGCAGAAAGGUAGUGUGGGGAAGUGAAUGUCAGACUGCAGGGUGCAUUCACCAGAAGCCUACAGUUCCAGUUCCUUUUCUGUAAAUGUUUUGGCACCAAAAUAUCCCUAAUCCAUAAUAGCUCUGCCAUCAUUCUAGGCUAGAGAACAAAAGAGAAGUGCUCCAUAGUGUAACAACUUCCAAGCAGGUGAGCGAUUCUGUAUUAAGGCUGCUUACCAGAAAUGGUUGUGUAACCUCAUACACAACAAUGGUACUUGUAUGUAUACUUGGGUCCAAUCUGCAGCCUUCCUGCUAAGGGUAUAAACAGGAGCACAAACAAACUUUUUUUUCACAUUUUUGAAAAAUGUAUGGUGAUGGGACCAAUAGACACCAGGGAAUAGUGACAUUUAAUGUUUAAAUGCUGUGAUCUGUAUAGAUCAUGGUAUUUAACCAGUUAAAUGACAGACAUUGGAGCCAGCUCCGAUGUCCAUCACAGCGGCGAGCAUCUCUCUGUUAUGAUGCGGACCCAACCCUUGGGCACGUGCCAUGUCCGCCCUUUCCAGACCCAUGACGUACAUGUAGGUCAUGGGUCGGGAAAGAGUUAAAGUAGUAUGCAUCAACAGCUGUACCAUUUCAAGCCUCCUUAGCACAUUUUGUCAUACUGGAUAGGAAGAAAACCAUGUACCACUAUUUAUCAUACCAAAACGACAGGUGCCACAAUGGAUCCUCAUCUACUCUAUUAUAAGUCGACGGAGUCUGUCAGGUGUUCCUGGCAUCCAGUAUGGAACAGAGCUGACAUUAGGAAUUGAUGACUAAGGUGGGAACUUAGCCUAAGAAGU